rnacentral:rRNA from 1 species
ACGAACGCUGGCGGUAGGCUUGACACAUGCAAGUCGUGCGAGAAAGUAUCUUCGGAUAUGAGUAGAGCGGCGGACGGGUGAGUAACGCGUAGGAAUCUACCCUUUGGCCUGGAAUAACACGAGGAAACUUGUGCUAAUACCGGAUAAGUCUUUACGGAGAAAGCUUUAUGCACCAUUGGAUGAGCCCGCACUUGAUUAGUUUGUUGGUGGGGUAAUGGCCUACCAAGACUGUGAUCAAUAGCUGAUUUGAGAGGAUGAUCAGCCACAUUGGGACUGAGACACGGCCCAAACUCCUACGGGAGGCAGCAGUGGGGAAUCUUUGC